UACAUCUUAGUAUAUGAUGUACAUAAGUUUUUGAUACUUAAGGUGAUGGUUUAAUUCCAUCAGUUGUAA
rnacentral:tRNA from 1 species